UGCGUAGUCGGCGUUAUAAGUCAGAGGUGAAAGGCCACCGCUUAACGGUGGGACUGCCUUUGAUACUGUAGUGCUUGAAUAAGGUUGAGGUUAGCGGAAUGUGACAUGUAGCGGUGAAAUGCAUAGAUAUGUCAUAGAACACCAAUUGCGAAGGCAGCUGGCUAGACCUUUAUUGACGCUGAGGCACGAAAGCGUGGGGAGCGAACAGGAUUAGAUACCCUGGUAGUCC
rnacentral:rRNA from 1 species